CGGACGGGUGAGUAAUGUCUGGGAAACUGCCUGAUGGAGGGGGAUAACUACUGGAAACGGUAGCUAAUACCGCGUAAUGUCGCAAGACCAAAGAGGGGGACCUUCGGGCCUCUUGCCAUCGGAUGUGCCCAGAUGGGAUUAGCUAGUAGGUGGGGUAACGGCUCACCUAGGCGACGAUCCCUAGCUGGUCUGAGAGGAUGACCAGCCACACUGGAACUGAGACACGGUCCAG
rnacentral:rRNA from 1 species